UCCGUAACGUGGUCUGANAGCAUGAUCAGUCACACUGGAACUGAGACACGGUCCAGACUCCUACKGGAGGCAGCAGUGGGGAAUAUUGGACAAUGGGCGAAAGCCUGAKCCANYCAUGCCGCGUGUGUGAAGAAGGUCUUCGGAUUGUAAAGCACUUUAAGUUGGGAGGAAGGGCAGUUACCUAAUACGUAAUUGUUUUGACGUUACCGACAGAAUAAGCACCGGCUAACUCUGUGCCAGCAGCCGCGGUAAUACAGAGGGUGCAAGCGUUAAUCGGAAUUACUGGGCGUAAAGCGCGCGUAGGUGGUUUGUUAAGUUGAAUGUGAAAUGCCCCGGGCUCAWCCUGGGAACUGCAUCCUAAAACUGGCAAGCUAGAGUAUGGUAGAGGGUGGUGGAAUUUCCUGUGUAGCGGUGAAAUG
rnacentral:rRNA from 1 species